GAACGCCUUUUCUUUUUCACUCGCCCACCACACUGUCUUCUUCACCUCAUCCAUUCCCCACACUCCCACAGAUCAGGAGCAAAAUCCCGGCGGAGGCAGCGGCGAUUCCGGCGUGCGCUGCGGAGGAGAGUGGAGGUGGAGGCCCGGCGAUGAGCUGCCUGGGAUAGCGGCAUGGACGCGUCCGCGCGGGGGAGAAGCGAUGGAGUCCUCCCCGACGGCGUCUUCUCGUCAGCGAAGAGUGAAUCUCCCUCCAUGGGAUCUCGCGGGCUCACCUCAAGCUCGAGCUCGACUCUGGCCACGCGCGCCGCGCCCACUAUGGCCAGUUCCGGCGCCCCCCGCAGCCCACUUGCCCCAUCGUUCCCCACCUCCGUCCGUCGACAGGGGAGCUCCAGAUUUUUGCGGGAGGAGGCCAUGGACGCUGGUGGCCAGCAACCUUUGCCACGCCCCGUCCCCGUCUCCAACUCCCCGAGGAUCCUCCUGAAGGUCGGCAGCGGCGGUGACGACGACGAGGGAGCCGAGCACGCGACGGCUGACUCGAGCGUGUGGAGGCGCACUGCGCGCGCGGUCUCGCAUCAUCUUCUGUGCAAGCAGGUCGCUGCGCCACCAGGGAGCUCGAGACGGCCGUGCCGUGCACCCAAUCCACCGAGUGCCGCCUCCUCCACCAUGACGCCGUCUUCGCCCGCCUCCUCCACUAGACGCCAAGGGCACAAUAGAAUGCGGACGGGGGAGAUAGAGCUGCUCCUCAAGUCUGGGCCGCGUCGACGGGAGGUCGCCUUCAACAUGGUCGACUGCGAUUUCAAGGUCUUUGAGGGAAAAUGGUCUGUCCAGGAGGUAAUUUGAUCAUCCCCUAUUGUUCUUGCUUAUAUUCAGAUUCCCAAAUGGCUAUGCCAGACAUGUAGACAUCCAAAUUGAUAGCCUAGUGGAAGCCUAGCUUCAUCGUCAUUCUGGAAUUUGCAAUUUUACUUCAUAGCAGGAUCAAGUGAUUUUGUAGAGCUACUGUAUCUGUGUCGAUGAACCAUGUCAAGCAGCUCAGGGUGUUGAAAUAUGUCUGAAUCGUCCAUGUUUCCUUGUAACAACAGAAGAUUUUUCAUUUGUUAUUGCUAGUGUUGUAGGAUUCUAGAUGCAAUAUGUUUCGUCAACUAAUGUUUGUGUGGGUUCACGGUAUAAUUGAUGGCCCUGCAUUACUUUGAAACUCAUGGCAAUUUUACAAGACGAUGUCAAACUUUUCUUACCAUGGCAAUUUUUUAUAGUGAAUUUGCCAUGGCUAAUUUACGUAAAUUCCCACGGCAAUUUUUUAUUUUUAUUGCCAUGGCAAGUUUUACUUUUUAUUUGCCAUGGCUAAUUUCCCUUUAUUAACAUGGAAAAUUUACCUAAAUUCCCAUGACAAUUUUUAACUUUUAUUGCCAUGGCAAGAUUAUUUGACCUUUAUUAACAUGGCUGAUUUUACUUUUCUUUGCCAUGUCAAAUAUAUGCAAAUUUCAAUAUGAUUUUUGGUUAUGAUCAUGGCAAUUUUAACUAUAUGCACCAUGACCAUAUUUUCUUCCUUUUUGCAGCAUGGCAAAUCUCUUUUGCACGGGACCAUGGCAAAUUAAGUCUAUGCAUCAUGGAAAUCUUAGUGUAUGGGUCAUGGCAUUUUGUAGUUUACAUUUUAGUCUAUGGAUCAUGGCAUGAGAUUAUAGCCUAUGCAUUUCUGUCAUAAGAUCAUGGCAACCCCCCAAAGAAAAACUUGCCAUGUCCUUUUUCUGAGAAUAAAAUUUGUAAAACUUGCCAUGUGUAACAUUUUUGCUUUGUCCAUAUUCAUCAUCACAAAUUUUGUACUAAAUUUUCUUCUUUUAUCAUGCAUGUUUAAUUUUUGUAACGUACUGAACGUGGCCAUUUUUUGUGUCUCAGUUGGCAAUUAAUCACUCAUUGUAAAUCCGAAUGCAGUAUCAUUUUCUGAAUUUUCUGUAUUGUAUAGUUUUUCC
rnacentral:rRNA from 1 species